UACGUAGGGGGCUAGCGUUGUCCGGAAUCAUUGGGCGUAAAGCGCGUGUAGGCGGUCCGGUAAGUCCGCUGUGAAAGUCGAGGGCUCAACCCUCGAAUGCCGGUGGAUACUGUCGGGCUUGAGUACGGGAGAGGCGAGUGGAAUUCCUGGUGUAGCGGUGAAAUGCGCAGAUAUCAGGAGGAACACCGAUUGCGAAGACAGCUCGCUGGAACGUUACUGACGCUGAGACGCGAAAGCGUGGGGAGCAAACAGG
rnacentral:rRNA from 1 species